AGUUGACGACUCUUUACAGAAAGGGACUUGGUAAUGGAUUGAAAAGCUGUAAUGUUACCGGAUUACGGAAAGGUAGCUUAGUUGUUAACUAUGAUGUCUACACAACGAGCGAUUCAUCUGCACCAUCAAAUUUGGUAUCCAUUAACAAAGAUCUGCUUUCUGGUAAAGAAAAUGUAACGUACGACGGACAUUAUGCACCAGUGUCAUCUCUUUUAUUUGUCGACUCCUCAGGGCAAAUCGUGAUCUUCACCAAUUCUUCUACCGGAUGCCAGAUUCUGAAGGCAAUCAAUCCUUGUAGAACUGGAUCACAAUGUGUUGAAGAACAGCAAGGACCUGUCUGUCGACUGGACAAUAUUAAUUCUGGUGGUUGCUGGUACUGGUGCAGUGGUUCUACUGUUGACGAUCAUAGCCAUGGUCUUACACUGCAGAGGAAAAUCAAACAAAAAGAAAAC